rnacentral:rRNA from 1 species
AUACGGAGGGUGCAAGCGUUAUUCGGAAUCACUGGGCGUAAAGGACGCGUAGGCGGGUUGGCAAGUCAGAUGUGAAAUCCUACAGCUUAACUGUAGAACUGCAUUUGAAACUGCUGACCUAGAGUAUGGGAGGGGGAGAUGGAAUUAGUGGUGUAGGGGUAAAAUCCGUAGAUAUCACUAGGAAUACCGAAAGCGAAGGCGAUCUCCUGGAACAUAACUGACGCUAAGGCGUGAAAGCGUGGGGAGCAAACAGGAUUAGAAACCCUAGUAGUCC